CCGACUGAGUCCCCCAGGCGCCCUGGUUCUUCUGUUUCUUAAUUAGGAGGCUCUGGGGCUCCUGUUGAAGUCAUGUGGCCACUCCAGCCAAGCUCUUGGAGUCACCUGCUCCUGGAGUCCACGCACAGUGCCCGAGCCCCAUCUCAGAGCCAUGCCGGGUACAGAGCACUGGAGACAACUACCACCGUGAUGGGACCCCUCUCCUCCAAACAUUCUCUCGACUCAGGAGGUGGCUCCUUGGCCACAGACCACAGUGGUCCAGGGCUGGGAGAACACAGAUGGCCUGGGCCAGGUGGUCCCAGCGAAGACAGAACGCCCCCGCCGGGCAGAUGGGGACCUACGGGCAGUGCGCGUGGCAGGUGAAGUCUCUGGGGGAUGGCAGGAUGGCGGCAAUGUAUCUUGCCCGUGGGCCAGACACGAAUCGGGGACACAGGGCAUGACAUAGUGGGCGGCAGGGUGGACCCACAUAACAUAGGUCCACCCGGAACCUCAGAACGUGAGCUUAUUUAGAAUAAGGCACAGGGACCUGCCUCCUUAGUGCAGGAGGCAGUGCUCAGUCUCAGAGGAUGAGGCAAAGCCACCCAAGACGUCCUGGUGCAUUCUGGCCACCACCAGUAGUGAACUGGGGGCUAGGGAAGCCCAUGGGCUGUGUCAUGUGCACAUUGUCCUCGAGGCCACUCGGGCCCACUGGCGCUGGAGGAGGGGACAAUUGUUGCACCUGCCACACAGGGGCUGGGUGGGAGAAUGGAGCCUAGAGGCUUCUGAGAGUGAGGAGAGGGCAGAGCCCGACCAGGGACAAGGGGUGAUGCACCUGCGAGCUCUUUAAGUGGUGAAGUCAUCAGAAACUGUGAGGGGCGGUGGAGCGAGAGGGAGUGGAGACAGUGAGUCCCCUGUGGGGUCGUGGGGAAGUCAGGCGGCCGGGGCCAGUUGCCAGUUGGAACUGUGGGUGUGGCCCCCAAGAGACACUGAUGUCACAGUCAUCACCCAGGAGAGGAGCUGAGGUCAUGGGCAGGAACACGUAGGGCAGAAUGGGGGCUGUGGAGCUUGGGAGAGAUGGCCGGAACGGUGUGGAGAAGACCGGGAGCGGGGGACAGAGGAUGGGGUGACGAAGAGCAAGACCGAAGAAGGCAGCUGAGCAUGCAGCACGCGGGGCAGAGGCCAGGGGCCCAGGAGACGGGGCUCCUGAGGGACAGGAAGGGGACUCCGCCUCCUCCAAGCUUGGAUGCCAGGUGACUGGAGCCACGGCUGCUGGCGGCUUUGACCGGGGAAGGGCCGGAAGUCCAGGCAGCUCUCGCCUGACCCGUCGGAAAGGGCUUGAUGAUGUGGGUGGCAAAGGUGCCUGCCGGGAGGGACAGGCCGGAGCUGGGCUCCAGGAGACGUACUGGUCAGGAGUGGCCACCGGGAGCUGUGGGAAGGAGGCUGGCCAGGAGCAAGUAGACGUACAGGCUGACAGUGCAUGUCCGAGUGUAGACGGGGCCACCAGAGAAGCAGUGACGAGCAGAGGCUCAGCUGGGCCAUUCUGAGGAUGAGGGCUGGCGUGGCGGGGAAGAGGCCGUGAGCCCAGAGUCGGGGCCCCAAGAGUGGACCUGUAACCAGGCACUGAGGGCUGAGGAGGAAAACCUUGGAGGCCCUGGACUCUGACGGGAGGGUGGUCGCGUCAUGUCCAGGAGCCGCACUCUCGGUGCCUUGUUUUUUCUCUGAAGUAGGCUUCACAGUCGGCAGAGGCCAACACGGGGCUUGAACUGACAACUGGGGACCGCGGUCUUGGGAAGCAAAGUGAUGCCCGCUGGCCUGGAGCUCUGGGAGGUGGAGGGGGGGCAGAAGGAGCAGCCCCCACAGGCCAGAGGUCAGAGGAGAGCCGGGCCGCGGGAGUGUCUGCAUUCUGAAGGCAUGGACGCAUGGAUGUCAUGGGAGGAUCUUGAGGGCUGGUGAGGGGCUUGGGCAGAGGUGGGGCUGGUGCCGGGGGUGCCAGGGGCCAGCGCUGGCCGCGGGUGCACAGGGGCGGGAGCCAUGGGGGAAGGGUAGGCUCGGCUAAGAAGCAUACGGCAUUCUGGGCACCACAGGUCCCCCUUCCUGAAGACAACUUCUGGAUAAUUCUAUCCCUCGCAAUCCACAGAGCCUGUCUGGGCAGGCCACGGUGGAUGGGGCUGCCACCGGGAGCGGAGCACAGGAAGUUCGCUCUGACGAUUGGGAAGUCCUCCUAGGCUUAUAUCCUUGGGGACCCGAUCCUCGACACCCCUGUUCUCCUCUGUGGCUACAGAGAACAGGCAGUUCGAGCCAGGAGUGCCCCAGGGAGGCCGAGGCCACCGUCACAGUCCCUGUGGCUCCGGCCAGCUCUGCAACGGCAGGUCCCGAGAGCUGUCUUCCAGGUUGACGCAGCGGGUCCGGGGUUAGGCUGGUGGUUGCCGACAGCGGCCCCAGAGCGGGGGUCCACUGAAGAGACGCUUGCACUGCUGGAAGGCUCAGGCCACUGCUCCAGGUUGGUGACGGCAGAGGCAAACGGGACCCCAGAGCAGCCGGGGCUGAACCCUGACUCCCAGAGCCCCCACGGUCCCCAUCCUUUCUCCCUGUGGUGGUGACACAUUGCUGGCAACGGGGUAGGGAGGAGAGGGCCGGGCUGGCAGCUUGCGCCCACUGGGCAUCGCGGCUGAGGUCCUUCUGUGCGCCCCUGCGGGAGGCGGCCGGCACGGAGCGCACGCAGACUCUUUGCACCGCGGAAGCACACAGUGACAGACGGCGAUGGCUCUGAGGCUGUUACUCUAGCCUCCGCGGGCCUGCAAGGGGCUCAGGGACGCAUCACAGUGCCCCACCCAGAGGGUCGCCGUGCGGGGCCGGGCCGUGUGCCUGCCGGACUCUGAGCGCGAGGCCUGGGCCAUCCCCUUCCCGCCUCUCCGUGGAUAUGAACCAUCCCUCCGGCGUCCUGGCCCUCCCCUCCCUCUCCUUCCCCCUCUCGCAGCCCAGGGACCAGCCCCGAGGGGCGGUGGUCACAUGGCACCACACCUUCACACUCUCCUCUCCGCUGGGCGCUUGCAGGAUGCAAAUCAGUCACCAAUGUGGGAAGCAGGUACUGCGGGGCCCGUCUUUGUCACCCUGGAGCCACAGCCUCGGGCUCUACCCUGGCGGGGCUGGCCUGGAUUCAACGGUCCUACCAGGCCCUCUCCGCAGUCGGUUCUCUGCCAAUUCGGACCGCGCGGACACCUCUCCAGGGUCCCUCUGCAACCGAGAGCUGCCUCCUUCCUUGCUCUGGCCAGGUAGCUGGCCAUAUUCCGCCCCUUCCAGCCAAGAAUGACUGGGACCAGACCCAAGCCCCCAGGGCCCAAGUGGUCCCCUCUAUGGAGGCUGCAGCCUGGCCGGGGUCCUCGUCCUCGUCUCUCCAAGGAGAGGAGCAGAGCAGUGCUCGGUGCCCCCUGACCCCAGAGCGGCACCUGACCCGGCCAGCGGGGUGUCCGGCCUUGGUCUGGGUGCAAGGAGCCAACAGGGCCCAGCCUGGGCCCUGCGGUGUUGAGAGGGGACGCGGGGGACACAGCGGAGAAGCAGCCAGACUUUGUUCUCAAUCCCGUGACGGAAGGGGGCAGACCCCUGAGGAGCACGGUCGCAGGAUGAGAUGCUCCAACUCGAGAGGCACGUUCCGGUCAGGACGUGGAGACACGCAGCCGGAAAGGCGGGUGGGCCGCUCAGAGACCUUCCGAAGCUCAGCCGGUGGACGGGGGUCUACAGCAGGGGAGCAACUCCCUGCAGGCUCUGGGUACCCCCAAUCUCCCCGGCCAUUCUGGCUCCCCUCUCUUCUGCCCCAUUCAGCCCUCAAGUUGCCUGGGACAAGCCAGGAAGCCACCUGCUUCUGUCUCCUCCCCUUCCGUAGCAUGGGGGCUGGAGGGGCUGCCCGCCCUCCCUCCUCUUCCCCACUCACCUCCCUUUGCCCAUCCAGCCGAUGGGUGUGGGCGUCCGGCUCUCUCCCGGUAAAAGGAUUAUAUCAUCUGUAAUGUAUAUCCAGACACGCGCACUGCUUCUCGGGAGGACAAGACAAGGAGAGGGAGCCCACACAGCUGGCCGGAGGGGGCUUAUAACCGGGUUAUUGAACCUGAACCUGAGCCCUCCCAGAAUGGGGGUGUUAAUGGCUCCCGAGGUCACGGCCCCUCAGAAAUCAAUCGCUGCGCACUUCUCCUGUCCCUCCUCUCAUGUCGCUCCCUCCUGUCACCUCAGCUGCAAGUGCAGACCCCGGGAUGUGCAUUUGGUUUAAAAUGUCUGGACCUGGCCCUGUUGGGAGCCGCCACAGGCAAGUGGGGUGCUCCAGAACAGGGUCUAGGAUGCUCCUGAAGGCAUGGCAGCCGGUAGCACGACGCGCCUAGAAGAUGCUGGCUACAGCACCUCACGUGGGGGGAGGGGCAGGGCGAACCGCGGCACCCAGCCGUGGAGUGACCGAGUGACAGUGAUGGUGGCCUGGGGGCUGGGAGCGGGGUGGGCGGUGUCACAGGGGCUAACGGCUUCGGGUAGCACCCCGUGGGUGCCCAGAAAUAAAGCCUCAGGUGUGGUGUGCCCACGUGCCAGGGCGCCCCAGACGGGAGCAGGAUCUCCGUGCCAGGCCCACGGGAGGUAGGGCCUCUCCUCAAACUUUGCUUGCCUGGAAAGCGGCCCGGAAUCGGGACCUGGAAAACGGGCUUAACAGCACAUGCGGCCGGUCGGAGAAGCACAGGGUCGGAGCGGCAGGGCCCCCCCAUCCCGCACAGCCUGGUUUGCUCACCUGUCAGGUGCUGUUAUGGCCUUUUGGCUCCACACUGGCCCCCGGAGCCCUGACGCCGAAGGGGAGAAGAAAGUGCCAGCCUGGCUCUGGGGUUCCCUGGGCCUGCCUGCCGGAUGCACCUUCCAGGAGAUACAACCUCGGAAGGCCCAGGGGCCAGAGCAGGGGGUGGGCUGGGAGAGUGAGCGUCCCGCUGAGGCUGGAAGGGGUCAAAGGGCAAGGCGGGUCUGCCAGAGCGGCAGCAGCUGGGCUCUGCUCGCCCCGUCUCAUGGGUCCAAACUGCAGUGAGGCCAGUCCCAGAGGGCCCUGGGAGACCAUGAGGUCCUCCCCUCCCCCCAGCUGUACACAUGAGGAAACUGAGGCACCAGAGACAAAGCUGCCCCUCUCCUCUCUUUUCCAGGAAAUGACUCAGGGGAAUUCAGCAGUGCUGCAGACAGGAGCCAGGCAGCCAGGCCUCCCUUGGCUGCCCCCUCAUCCAUGGAGCUGCUGGCAUCCCAGCCCUGCCCGCCUCCCUCUCGAUGUCGCCCCAGCCUGGCCUCGCCUCGCCUCACUCUGAUCUCCCUGAGCAGAGGCACGGGAGACCCUGCCAGAAGCUGGUCUACAGCAGCCCACAGCAAUCGUGCCGCUUUUCAGCAUCCCUUGUGCCCCAUUCCAGGGGGGGCCAACUCACCCAUGACUCACGUGGGAGCCCCUCUAUGCUCCUCCCCGCCUCCUCCUCCCCACAGCAGCGAGCGGGGCAGAGAAUCCACUGAGUGUCCUUGUUCACACUCAGUUGGGGCUUCUGAACCCGGUGGGGCUCCACCGCCAUGUCGCCGUGUGACACCAGGAAACCAGUGCCUCAGUUUCCCUAGCCAGAUCCCCUCUGACUCCCAGACUGGCGUAAGGACAAAAUGAGGUCCUCGAUGGAGAUGCUUAUGGCCUUUGGUGCCGAAGAAAGCAAAGUGGGCCUGGUGACAAGGCCCCCUCUCAGGCCCUCCCCCAGCGUCCUGGCUCCACCCCUUCCAGGCACUGAGGCUCAAACGCUAUCAUUAUUAGCCAGAAUCUGAUACACAAGAAAGGGAGAAGACAGUGCGGAGGGACCUGGGAGCUGGGGGCGGGAGGGGGGGUUAUUUGUAGUAGUCAGACGGACCUCAUGCCCUCUCCCGCGUGGCAGUAGGAGGUGGCCCCAGGGGCCCAGCUGUGCCCGGUCCUCCACGGGCCCCUUCGCUUCCCUCGCUGGAAGCAGAGGCGCCAGCACGGAGUCUUGGGGCAACCCUCCCCCAGCCCAGGUCCAGCCUGGGUCGGGUCUCCCCACCCCACUCCCGCGCCCUGAGCCCGCGGACCCCAUGCCGCGAGCCUCCCGCGCAGAGGGUCCGCGGCGGGCAGAGCGGACAGUCUCGCAGGUGGGAGGAAGGCGGGCGGGGGCGGGGGAGGUGGAGGGAGACGCCGGGCAGGCCGCGCGGUCCCUCCCCUCUCCCUCCCUGCGCGCCGCCGGCGACAUCGCCCCUCCUGGGCAGGGGGCGGAGAAGACGGCGACGGGAAGGGAGGAGGCGGCGGCGGAGGCGGGAUUUGGAGUUUCCCUCCGCAGCGGCGGCGGCGGCGGCGGCGGCCCCUCGGCUUCAGGCGAGGCCGCCGCCUGAGGCUCCGGUGACGCUCGGCGGCAGCGGCGGUGGCGCUUCCCGCCGCCUGGGCUUCGGAAACUUCCCGGCCGCGACGCGCGUAGCCGGCGCUGGAAGCCGAGCGGAUCCGGGGUGAGCGGAGGUGAGCGGAGGUGAGCGGAGCACGCGGCUCCCCGGCACCCACCCACCCCACCCCCACCCAGCCCGGCCGCCCCCUCCGACGUGAGCUCCUCCACCCUGCACCCCAAAGUCUUGCCAAAGCGUAGCCCACGGGGCCGACGCACGCGCCCCUGUGAGACCCACUCGAUCCUGUCACCGCACACCCCCCGCAUCCCGCCCGUGCACCUCCCUGUCCUCUGCACGCGCGCGCAUCAACCACGCACCGCAGACCUAGUCCCUGCAGUGAGCACAGCAGCAGCCCCUAGCCCACCAGCCAGCGCUGCCCCCAACUCAGGCUAGCACCCAUCCCAGACCCAGUACACACCCAGGCGCGCGCGCGCGCGCGCACGCACACACACACACACACACACACACACACAAUCCAUCCCUGCCAUAUCUGCACUAACAUAGCUCCCCUCACGGUGCCACCACCAUCUCCAACUCCCCAUAUGCUCAUUACAGACACUCCACCCACGUUCCCAGCCCAGAGACACUGCUGCCACCCACCUACCCCUGAGUGAAGCCCCAGAACUAACUCAUGCCCCAGCAGCCGGCUCCCCACACCCCACACCGGGCCCAUUCCCCAGGCACACACCCCUAGCAUCCCCAGCGUGCACGCUCACACACGCCCCAGCACGUACGCACGCCUGCUGGAUUUACGCUCCCCGGCCCCAUCGCAGAUAGCCCCCCACACCCCCAGCACGUCCCCGAGGCCCUCCCACCGCCACCCCUGACACCUGGCACGCGGGCUCUAGAGGCUGCAGCAGUCUUCGCGUCCCUGCCAGGUGCCUCCCUAAACAGACCUUGAGUCUUCCCAGCGACUGGCCUGGGCUCUUCCCUAAGAGAUAAAGCAGGCACUUGGGGUGCAAGGUACCAUACUUAGAUGUGGGCUGGGGGAGGAGGAAGGGAGAGGCGGGCACCGAAAUGGAGGCAGCCCAUCUGGAACCAAAGGAACGCCAGUUGCCGAACAGGCACGUAGUAGGUCGGCUCCAGGAGGACGGGAGUCCGACACAGCGUGUGUGCCUCUCCGGGUGUGCCGUGAGGGCAGGGCUGGGCGUGCAUGUGUGCCUGUGCGUGUCCGUGGUGUGUGUGUGGGGGGGGGUGACCCGCGGGGAGAAACAGCACGACCAGCACCCCCCAGGGCUUCCUCAUGCAACAAUUGGUUUCAUUCAUUCA